UUUCCACAAAUAAGUGUUCGUCUUCUUCUUCAAUAGUGACUUGGGCAACUGCUUCAUCCUUUUGAAUUUGCUUUUGCAAAUUACAGCUUCAUGAACAAGUUGUUUGCUGUUCUUGCACUGUGCAUCUGUUCUUUUCCAACAUUUAUAUGGAGGAUGUCAAUUUUUUCCACAGUGUUGACAAGGUGGAUAAUUUUUCAAAAAUUUGCCGUUGCUUUGAGUUUUGUGGAUGGCUACUAAUACUCCUUCAACCAUGUCAUCUUGCCUCCACAUUAAUUUCAUUCUUCUACGGCUUUUCAAAGAUCAAUAGCCUCCAAGAAUACAAUCACCAGUGACUUUCUUAUCUUCCAGAUUAAAUUUUAAAAUAAAAAAUAAUUAAACUAAAAAUAUAAUAUUAUUUUA